UUCCUGGCCGGCUUAGCUCCUGGGGCCUGGGCCUGGGGCCUGGCCCUGCGUGUCUGUGGGCUGGGUGGGGAGACCCGCAGGCCUGGGUAUGUCAGUGCCCUGAAGGAGGGCCAGUGAGGGUCCUCUGCUAGCCAACGCAGGCUCCCUCAGAUCCGCAUCCUCCUCUGGCAGGAUUUGGCUGUGGAAAAGGCCCGAGGCUCUGGGGGCCAGCUAGAGACCCAAGAUGCACCAGUCCUUGGCACAGCGUGUGACACACAGUGAGUGCAUAGCCAUGAGGUGGAAGCUGUGAGAGCCCAGGAGACCUCAGAUGCCACCCAGCACAGAGCCUGGCCCGAGGGAUAAAACACCGUGUGGCAGCCGGGACAGUGACUGGAGGGACCAUCAAUGUCACAAACACAGCUGGGGACCCCAGGGCCCUGGCGUGGGCUCCCCCGUGACAGCCUCAGAGAGCUGGGGAUGGAAACCAGGGCCUUGUGCAUGCCAGGCCUCCCUGGCAGCUGCCUGACCCAGCUCCCUGGAGCCCCACCCAGGCCACCCUCUUACCUGGCAAUCGGAACCCACAGAUGCCCAGACUGGCCCUCAGGCCUGGCGUCAGGGACUCCUGCCACAGACAGGGCUGGCAUCUUGGAGCCAGGGCUGACCUCCCGGAUCCAGGCCUGCCAGGACCUCCCAUGACUUGGAUGCUUCUUCCCGCAGGGAGCUCAGCAGAGAACAGGGCCUUGGAAAUUUCCCAAAUUUUUACCAAGUUAAAGAGACAACCACAAGAAUGUGUAGCCUGGAUGGACGACUGGCAUAAACAACCCCUCCCCCACUGCCCAGCCGCCCCAAAACCACGGCCCCCCAACUCAGCAGCAAAAAAUGCCAAACACGAACAGGAAAAAAGGCAGCAACAUGGACAGUGUGCGGCGGGGGGCACGGAAACCACUCCAUGACCAAGGGCACACACACGUGCACACAUGUGCAACACUUGCCUGAACACACACACACACACACUUGCAUGUAACUUUGCACACACGUACGGUUGAAGUGCAUAUGUGUGCAAGCUCAUGUGUGCAGGGUGUACACCCCACAGGCACCAUGCACAUGCACCACUCAUGCUUGCAGACACGCUUGGCUGAGGCAGAGGAUCCCCUUCCACAGGCAGAGGAGCCUGGUGAGGGCAGGCUGCUGGGUCCACCCCUCACACUGUCCCUCCCGGUCAUCCCUUGGCCUCUCUUGGCCUGCUUCCUCUUCACCUGCCCCACCUCCCAACGUCCUUUGGAGAAUACAGUAGGACAGUGGUGGCAGGAUCUGCAUGUCAUCCCACAUAGCCACAGAGGAUGGGGACGCAUCUCCAUAUUCCUCAGAGGUCCUGGGACCCUGGGGCUGCUCCAAGGCGGGCACCCCUGAGCCAGAGAAAUACCAUCCCAGACAGAGCCCGGGCUUCCGAAUGUGGAGGAUUCCUUCCCAGAGACCCCUGGGAUUGGAGGAGCCUUGCAGUGGUCAGUGGAUAUGCAGGGAUGGGCCCAAGGAUGGGCCACAAGGCCUGCCUUUAGAGCCACCCAGCUGUACCUUGAGCCUGCCCAUCCCCAGAACUGUUUCUCCCACCAGAAGAAGCCUGGCCAAAUGAACUCCCCCAAAAGUCAAGAGUCAGAGGACAAAUGUCCCCACUGGCCUUGGGGUCCUCCCCUAGAGAUGGUCCUCCUUAGUCUGGGACACUCCAUUUCAAGAAAACAGGUUGGCAUCGGAACCCAGGACUUCCUGCCCUGCUCACCCAGCUCUGACAGCUCUGCACCCCGGGAGCACCGCCCACAGAAAGCCCUGCCAGCCACGGGGGAUGCCCUGCACACCCCCAGGGGGACCCCCCUGAAGGGGACUUUCUGGACCCUGGGGAGGCUCUAGGGGCUAAGAGGGUCUUCGAGUCCCAGGAAUGUCACAUCCAGGAGGAUGGCCUCUCGUGCUCUGCGAAAGACAGUCUUGGCUUGGGGAAUUUUGCUGGCACGGAGACAGGAAGGAGAGGAUCUUGGCUUUCCAAAAUGUUUACUACAUCAGGAAAUUAAUUCACUACGCACGGGCUUCAGUGACGAUAAUAAAAACACUCGCGCUGGCUCGGGACGAAUGGAGUCUGACCAUCCUGGAGCUCCCUACUUUCAGGGGAGCCUAGGAGGACUCAGACGGGCUGGGGUCACAGACCCUCCCCUCCCUGCCCGUGGCCACCCACAUUGCUGGGGCAGGGAAGGGUGCACACUUGUCUUCACGGGUGCCCCACUGAGAGGGCGGCCUCAGGAACGUGCCCAGGAGGAUGGAGACAGUGCUGGCCGGGGCAGGUGCUGACCUGACUGCUGCCGGCCAUCAAGGCUCCCUCCACCCUAGCCGGACUGGUCCAGACCAGGGCCGCAGGAGGUCAGGGCACUUGUGUAGGCUCUGGGCAGCUCUAGACCAAGCUGGGACGCAGAUGCUAAUGGGGAGAAGAGAAGGGACCUGAGUAGGGAGGGCUGUGCCAGGGAGGGCUCCCCACAGGCUCCCGCCUCUCUUUGCUGGCAGAAGCUGCUGCCAGAGCCCAGGACCCAGCUUCCAGCCCUGGCUGCGCAGGCUCCAGCAGGAAGGCCCGGGCUGUUACCUCAUCACGGGGCAGAGCCCCAGGAGAAAGGAACUCGGGGAGGCCCUGGGCCCCCAUUCCCUCCCCUGCUCUCCCACCCCCUCCAGCCUAACAAGCAACCCCCCGGUGCACCCUGCCCGGGGUCCCCUCAUCCAUGAGCCUGCAGCUCUUUGAUGACACUUCCCCCAGCCACCGUGGCCUUCUCUGGCAGCAUGUGCCCUGUGCCCAUGGGGGCUCUCACCCCACAUGUCCACAGCGGGCCUGCAAAGGACAGCCCUUCCUGGGGUUCAAAGCCCCAAAGGUGAGUGCCCAGCCCCAGCCAGCUGCCCAGGCCCAUGCGCUUGGCUGAGCUCCCUGGGUUCAGGUUUUGGGGAACAUGUAGCCAUCGGCUAGAGGUCCAUUUCAAAGGGCUCUUUUACUUCUGGAUGCCCAGUGGCCACUGAGUGGGAGUUUGGGCCGAGAACUUCUGGGGGUCAGUAACAAGUGAGUCCUAGGGGACCCCUCCCUCUGGGUUAGGUCUCUGGGCUGUCAUGGAGGUCAGAGGCUGGAAGGAGAAGAAGCUAGAGGGUGGUGCCCUGCAGACUCAAGGUGGCCAGGGUAGCUGGGUUAGGAUGACCUGAGAGGCUGAGGAGGCUGAGGUCCAAGAGAGGGGCUCAGGCCAGAUCCAGGAGUGCAAGCUGCUCACCCUUCCAGGCUCAGGGCCACUGGGGGCCCUAGGGAGCAAGUUCUGAUGCUGUUCAACACCUCUCACCAGAGAAGCCCUCUUUGGGCCCAGAGGGGGGCUGCCAUGGAACUAGGACUGGUGCCCCAGCACUCACCUCCUGCCACCUUUGUGUCCAUUCCAGCAUUAGUUAGCCAUGCCAGACUCCCUUCCGGUUUCCCCAAAUCUCAGCACCUCUCUCUCCUCUGCCCCCUCACCUGGAUUGCUCCUCUUGUCCGCAGAACAACCCCCACAUGAGCUAUUGUACAGAUGCUGCUUGGGACUGAAGGGUGUCGCUUCACCUCGGAGGUCCUUAGAUCAGGUCGGGGGAGGAGAGGCCUUCACCUCCAGGAAGCCAUCAAGCGUAUCCCGCAGUCUUGCUCUGCAGCAGCCCUCAGGACAAUCUUGGGAACCCAUUUUACAGAGACGACCUUUUUUUUUUUUUCUUUUUUGUGGUACUGGGGAUUGAACCCAGGGUCUUGUGCAUGCAAGGCAAGCACUCUACCAACUGAGCUAUGUCCCCAGCCCCAGAGACAACCUUUAUCGUACUUUUCCAGGCCUUGCAGAGCCUAAGAGACCCUUUGCCACAUGCUGUCACUGGGCUCAGCCCCUUGGAGUGCCUGUGUGCUGGCGUCAUCUCCAGUAUGGAAAACAGAAAGUCCCACAGGGACAGUCCUUAUGUCCUGAUCCUGGUCUCAGACAUGACUGCUAAUGGCUCAGAAUCUACAAGUCAUAGAUGCAGGAGGGAAAUAAAGGCAGCAUUGCAUUUCACGGCAAAGGGACUUACUGAAGUUUUCUUAGCAAUGGACUUCCAGUUAUCAAAUUGGGAAGUUACAAAAUUGUAUCGGAAAUGGUGGUAGGUAGACGGAUGAAUGGAUGAUGGAUGGGAGAUGGGUGAACAUGGCAUGGAUGGUGGGUGGGUGGGGAGGUAAGAGGGUAGUAGAUAGGUAGAUAAACAUAGUAGUGAACAACUGAAAAGUAGACUAGAAGUGUGAAUGAAUGAGUAGUUUGCUGGGUGGAUGGAUAUGGUUAGGUAAUGGUGCAUGGGUGGAUAUGUGGUGGAUGGGUAGAUGAACAUAAAAAUGUCAGCUGGAUGGGUGGAUAGUUAGAGUGCUAGGGAAAUAGAAAAGUAGAGGGCUGGAUGAGUCAAUUAGUUGAUGAUAGAUGGAAGGAUGGGUGAGUGAUAGAUCAAUAAGUCUAUGGAAGGGCAAGUAGAUGGCGUGAGUAGUCAGGUGGAUAGAAGAAUGGAUCUUGAUAAAGCAGAUGAGUGAGUCGGGAAAUGGGUGGAUAGAGGCGACUAGAACUACAGAAGAGUAGAUGAGGGGUGAGGGUGACGGCAUUCAAGAAGGUGCACAGAGAGCACCCCGAGAGGGAGCCUGGUGGAGAAGGUGGAUGGGUGGAUGGAUGGAUGGGUUGAGGGUGGCAUGGAUGAAGGUGGAUAAGGGAGGGAGGGAGAGACGGAUGGAUGAAGGGAGAGAUGGACGGAUGGAUGAAAGAGGGGUGGAGGGGUGUUUGGGGCAGCUGUGUGGGUACUAGUGGACAUAGGAGUGGGUGUUGGUGGAGGGUGGGGAGGACAUGGAAAGGCAGUUGGACAGCUGGAUGAUGAAGGAGCAAGUAGGUCUUUUCAUGACACCUUUUUUGGCUAAGCUCUGGUCAUGAUGAAUAGCUGCAGUACCCUCCACCCUGUGUCUGUAGUUCCACGCUGUGACCUCCAGGCCACAAGGCAGCAUGGCCUCUCAAUCCCCAAAUAAGGUGACAAAGUCCGCUCUGGCAGGGUUAGGGAGCAGGAAGUCCAGGUGGGGGUGGGAGGCCCUGCUCCCGGAGCUGAAGUCAGUUCCUUCUUUUCUAAACAAUGGGGCUUGGCUUGGACCCUGCCGCACCUCCACCCUGCUCCACCCAAGUUCCCGCCUCGUCUGAUGGGGUGCUGGGGCCCUCGUGCAAGAUGCAGGGAGCUGGGGGCAGCUCUGUCUUUGCUCAGGGUUCCAAUGGCCCACUUUGGGGUCUUUGAGGCCACCCGACCCCCGCAUGGGCCCCCCAGUGAGUGUACCAAGGUUCCCAAGCCCACCCCCAAAGCCCCCAGGUCUCUGCCUGCUCACAGCAGGGAGUCAGCCUGCAGGGUAAGGCCUCCCUCACCUGAUUAUCUCCCCUAAUCCUGACAACUGCCAGCUGAGCACAGCCACAGAGACCCCAGGCAGUCUCCAGGUGGUACAGUCUCCAGGUGGUAAAGUGCAGGGUUUACUCCUCGGACCACCUCCAUGCAAUGCCAGGAUGCAGACCCGCCUAGCCCUAGAGGUCCAGCCCCCAGGCGGCAGGGUCUCCAGAGCCUGCUCAGUGUCUCUCAGCCCUGAUGUGGCUUAGACCCAACGUGUUGCUAGGAUUAGUGCCCGGAUUAGCCCACCAGCUCUCCAGAACCUUGAGGUCCAGUCACUGGUGCUAUAGUAACCUGGCUGUCGGCUGUCGGCAGGGGACUGGCCACUCCUUGGCAGACUCUUUCCUGCAGGCCCAGCCUGAGCCUGGGAUCAGGGGGAAGGGCCCUGGGUGAAGGGGCAGUAUGGGCUUGGGCCUGAGUCCCCAAGCUGCCCUGGACUGUGCCCUGCUCCCUCCUCUGCACAGCACUUUCCCUGGGAAAUCUUGAGCUUCUAAAAUCAGCUGUUUUCUGGAUACCAGAAUGGAAGCCACACCUGGGUCAUUCCUGGCUCAGGGAGAAAGGUGACUUGUUCCCGGCCUCACUGAAGCUGCGGAGUCAAAAAGCCUUUGGGCUCGUGCAUCCAGUCCCCCAAAUUCCACCUGAGAAUUCCCCACCCUGGCUUAGCCCAAGCCAUCUCUGCGGCCCCCUGCCUCUGGCCCCACUGUCCUCUGCCCAGGCUCCCUUGUGCCUCUGCUCUGAGGCACAGCAUGGCCAGGAGUCUGGGAUCUGGUCAGCCCUUGGUGGUGCGGCUGAUUAGGGGACUGCCCCAGAGGCCCAGAGAGCCCUGUGAUGCCCAAGAGGCUGGCCCUAGGAAGGAGGAAGGGGUGCGGCUGCCUGGGGAGGGCAGAGCCAGACCCUCUGAGCCCUUUGCAGGAUGCAGGCCCGCCCUGAGCCCCACGUGCCCCUCUCCUUGGCCUGGCCAGGCCUCCAGUUGCUCUGCAGACCAGGGCGGUGGUCUUGAAUCCUUGCAGCUGCUCAGCUCCUCCACCCCAUCCUGAUCUGACCGCUUGUCUUCUUCCCUCCCACCUGGCCACAGUGGCUUUCCUGCUGGGCCAGGGACCCCUCAUCUCCUGACUUUGGCCCUGGCCCCUCUUGGUCUGCUCACACAGCCACACGGGAUCCUAUCGCCUAAGCCAGGCUCCCCACUGGCCCAGUGCCACCUUUCUCAGGCUUGUGGGACCUUCCUGGGCAGCUCCCCUGGGCCUCUCAGACAUGCCUGCAAACCACCCCUGCUUGCAGCCUCCUUCCCCAGAGACUCACACUACUGCCUAUGGGGCUUCACACCUACUGCUCCUGCCUGGACACGUCCCCCCAGAUAUCCACCUGGGUGCUUGGUAGGGGAGUGAAAGAUAUGUAGAUGAGUGGAUGAUGUGUGUGUGUGUGUGUGUGUGUGUGUGUGUGUGAAAGAUAUGUAGAUGAGUGGAUGAUGAGUGUGUGUGUGUGUGUGUGUGUGUGGUGGGGAUGUGUGGAAGGAUGUACGGGUGGACGGGUAGAUGGUGGUGAGUAGAUACCUGGAUGGAUGGAUGGAUGGAUGGACGGAUGGAUGGAUGGAUGGGUGGAUGGAUGGAUGGAUGGAUGGGUAAGUGGGUGAUGGAUGGGUAAAUAGAUGAAUAAAUGGGUGGGUAGCUACAUGGGUGGAUUGGUGGGUGCCCCUUCCCUGCAAGCCAUCCAGGAAGUGCGGCCAAAUGGAAAGGCCCAGGUGGGUAUAUUUCUGCCUAGAGCAUCCAGCCUGGCCUGAGGACAACUGGGCCCGGAUGUUGAGGGGCCAACAUACAGGUGCACAGCAGGACUGAGCAAGUGCCAGCUGCCAGAACGGCGUGGGAGGAGAGAGGCUGGCRCUGGAGCCCCAACCAACCUCUUGACACCAGGAACCCAACAUGCUGCCCCCACCUCGGCUUCCUCCUGGCCAGGUGAGGCUGGGGUGUGUCCAGGAGGAUGGCCCCAGUACAUCUACCACUUCUGUGGGGUCCAGCUGCUCUGAGGGUGCUGCCACCAAUAGCCAGGCUCCUUGUGGGGGCAGAAGAGGGGACCUGCCGGGCAGGACCUGGGCAGACCUUCCCGGUGAGGAGGCUGCAGCCAGGAGACCUGGGCCUGCAGGGGAGGCCUGUGUGAAGGCCCGGCAGCCUCUCCCUCCUGCCCACAGCCCCACUGUUGACCGGACCCUGGACAUGAAGAGGCCUGCGACGGUGGGAACUGCUGGGCCACAGUGCAGAGCUGGAGAUGUAGGUCAACCGGGAGAAAGAGUCUGGAAAUGGACCCGACUGUCCACACGGGGAACAGCAGCAGCGCAGCAGGGUACAUGGGCACGGCACGCUGGGCCGGUCAGCUCGGACCCAAGAAGAUCUUCGAAGGAACCAAGGGGAGUUGUCUUGCAGAUCAAAAUCAUCUUGAGAUGACUUGAUCAUAAAUUUGAAAUAAAAUUAGACUAGUGAGAAAACUAAU